rnacentral:rRNA from 1 species
CCUACGGGUGGCAGCAGUGGGGAAUAUUGCACAAUGGGCGGAACCCUGAUGCAGCGACGCCGCGUGGGGGAAGGAGUAUUUCGGUAUGUAAAGCCCUAUCAGCAGGGAAGAACAAUGACGGUACCUGACUAAGAAGCACCGGCUAAAUACGUGACAGCAGCCGCGGUAAUCCGUAUGGUGACAGCGGUAUCCGGAUUUACGGGGGGUAAAGGGGGCGUAGGCGGCGCGUUAAGCCGGGUGUGAAAGCCCGGGGCCCAACCGCGGGAUCGCAUUGGGAACUGCCUUUGAAACUGGCAAACUGGAGUGUGUGAGAGGAUAGUGGAAUUCCAGGUGUAGGAGUGAAAUCCGUAGAUAUCUGGAGGAACAUCAGUGGCGAAGGCGACUAUCUGGCACAUAACUGACGCUGAGGAGCGAAAGCGUGGGUAGCAAACAGGAUUAGAUACCCGGGUAGUC